rnacentral:lncRNA from 1 species
ACCUUUCCCACAACCCUUGGAAAAUCUAAAUUUAUCUCCUAAUAUUUUUUCUCCCAUUUCAUAGUGUAUGUCUUUGAAUUUUACUCAUUCCUUAGGGCUCAGUUCUUCUGCUGCUAGAUGUUGCUUCCUCUGAAUUCCUACACCAGGUUAAGGUUAGAACUGGAAGGGACCUCAGAAGUCAUCAAAUUCAACUCUUAUUUUGAAGAUGAACAGACUCUCCAAAUAUAUGUGUGUAUGCGUGCAUGGAUGAGGAACUAAGGCAAAUGGAGUUAAAUGACUUGCCCAGGAUCACCCAACUACUGGAAAAUGAAUUGGAGAAGAAAAUUGCAAAACACUGCAGUAUCUUUGCCAAGAAAUCCCAAUU